UUUAGCCACAACUCCUAGCUAACCUUGGCUGGUAUUACAAAGCUAAACAAGGCUGGUUCUGAUUAGUAUUUGGAUGGGAGAUCAACUGGGAAUACCCAGGCAGUUCCCUAAAC
rnacentral:rRNA from 1 species